CAGUCGCCACGGUAAUACAGAGGGUGCGAGCGUUAAUCGGAUUUACUGGGCGUAAAGCGUGCGUAGGCGGCUUUUUAAGUCGGAUGUGAAAUCCCUGAGCUUAACUUAGGAAUUGCAUUCGAUACUGGGAAGCUAGAGUAUGGGAGAGGAUGGUAGAAUUCCAGGUGUAGCGGUGAAAUGCGUAGAGAUCUGGAGGAAUACCGAUGGCGAAGGCAGCCAUCUGGCCUAAUACUGACGCUGAGGUACGAAAGCAUGGGGAGCAAACAGGAUUAGAUACCCCAGUAGUCCCUGUCUCUUAUCA
rnacentral:rRNA from 1 species